AAAGGGCCAGCGCGUGAGAGCGGCCUCAGGUGGAGCACAUGGGACCCGGCCACGCGGCCUGCCGGGCCUGCUCGUGCUCUUUAGGCUGGGUGUCAGAUUCAGGGGAAGGAGCCAUUAGUGUCAUUCCUGACUUCUAGGAGGCCGAAGGGAGGACCCUCAUCCGCCCCGAGGACGCGCCAACGCCGCCCCCUCCCCUGUGCCCGGCGGGCCUGGCCCCUUCGGUCCCCGCCCGGGUGACCUUGGUUGGGUGAGCCGUCCGCACCUCAGUGGGUUGUGCUCCGCGCCUCGCCGCCGCUGGGCCUGGCCUCGACACUACCCGGAGAUGGGUUCAACUCCGGGCCUGGAAAGCGAGUCUUUAGCCCUUGCGGGCAGCCGGCGCCUAGGAAGUGGGAACGGAAUUACUAAAGCCCUCACCCAGGCCAGGCCCUUCUCCCCGCCGCGAAACCUUGUAUUUAUGGGCAGGAAAUGUCUUUUCUUUCAAGUGGAUGUCGUUUUUUUUCUAAAGAAUUGCUUUGGGCGGAGUUGAACCGUCCCUGGAUUGGGACUUCUGAGAUCUGAGAUUUUAUCCUGGCCCUGCCCCCUUACCAUCUCUGCAGCAGUGACUUCCAGCUUCGUGGGCCUCAGUUUCUCUAUUGUAAAAUGAAGGAGCAGUGUAUGACAGCAGUUUCAAACUUCAGUGUACAUUCGAUUCAAUACUUACUGACCUCGUACUGUGGGGGCCUUGCAGGGUUCUAGGAAACGGGUUUGGUAUAAACUAGGCUAACAAAGUCCCUAUCCUCAUGGAAUUUAUUCUAAGGUGGGGAAAGAGACAAUAAACAAGUAAUAAAUUAUUGUCUAGUAUCUAUGAAGACAAUAGUUAAACUGUGGUAAUCAGUUAGACUAGAUGGGCUACUUUUGUUUGGGUGAUAAGGGAAGACUUCUUUGAACGCAGAUGCCAAAGUAUUAGGAAUCAGGCUCGGUCUGGGACUGGACCCAGAAAUCUGCGUGUCUAGCAAGAUCCCUUUGGUGCUUAUGACUUCACUUGGAGAAGUCCUGGCUUCUGACUGGCUGUGAUCCCACGUGCUCACAUAACAUAACAGCCUGGAAUGUUGGCCAUCUCCAAAACAAGAAUUAGAGCACACGACCUGCUGGAUCUAGGAGAAGACUGAAUGAAAAGCCUCUUGGAACUGCCCCAGCCAGCAAAGCUGAGCUGUAGGAUUGUUGUAACCAGUAUGGGGGAGAAGUACUGGUAGGGAUAGCCAGAUGAAGAAACCAAAGUUCAGAAAAGUGAAGUCCAAGGCCGGGCACAGUGGCUCAAACCUGUAAUCCCGGCACUUUGGGAGGCUGAGGCAGGCAGAUCACCUGAGGUCAUGAGUUCAAGACCAGCCUGGCCAACAUGGCGAAACACUGUCUGUACUAAAAAUACAAAAAUUAGCUGGGCAUGGUGGCGCACACCUGUAAUCCAAGCUACUCAGGAGGCUGAGGCAUGAAAAUUGCUUGAACCCAGGUGGCGGAGGUUGCAGUAAGCCGAGAUCACCCCACUGCACUCCAUCCUAGGUGACAGAGCAAAACUCCAUCUCAAAAAAAGAAAAGAAAAGAAAAAGGAAGAAAAAGAAAAGUAAAGUUCCUUAUCCAAAGUCACACAGCAGAGCCAGACAGAGCUAGGUCUCAUACCUGAAUCUCUUUAUCCUAAAUCCAGUAGUUUUUUCUACAUUAAAAUAAUGAAACUGGGGCUGGGCAUAGUGACUCACACCUGUAAUCCUAACACUUUGAAAGGCCAAAGCAGGAGGAUCACUUGAACCUAGGAGUUAGAGAUCAGCCUGGACAACACAGUGAGACCCUGUCUCUAUUUUUUUUAAGUUUUAAUAAAAAAAUGAUGGAAUUGGGAUUUGAAUUCAGGUUUUUUUGAUUCCUAACCAACUAUGGUAUUUUAUAUGCAUAUAUUUCUAAAUACAGUCAUCCUCCCUUAUCCCAGUGCAUGCCUGAAACCCCAAAUAGUACCAAACUCUAUAUAUACUAUGUUUUUCCUAUAUAUACUUACCUAUAAUAAAGUUUAAUAUAUAAAUUAGGCACAGUAAGAGAUAAACAACAAUAAAUAAUAAAAUAGAACAAUUAUAACCAUAGACAGUAAUAAAAUUUAUGUGACUGUGCUCUUUCUCUCUCAAAA